UGAACGCUAGCUACAGGCUUAACACAUGCAAGUCGAGGGGCAUCAGGAAGAAAGCUUGCUUUCUUUGCUGGCGACCGGCGCACGGGUGAGUAACACGUAUCCAACCUGCCCUUUACUCGGGGAUAGCCUUUCGAAAGAAAGAUUAAUACCCGAUAGCAUAAUGAUUCCGCAUGGUUUCAUUAUUAAAGGAUUCCGGUAAAGGAUGGGGAUGCGUUCCAUUAGGUUGUUGGUGAGGUAACGGCUCACCAAGCCUUCGAUGGAUAGGGGUUCUGAGAGGAAGGUCCCCCACAUUGGAACUGAGACACGGUCCAAACUCCUACGGGAGGCAGCAGUGAGGAAUAUUGGUCAAUGGGCGCUAGCCUGAACCAGCCAAGUAGCGUGAAGGAUGAAGGCUCUAUGGGUCGUAAACUUCUUUUAUAUAAGAAUAAAGUGCAGUAUGUAUACUGUUUUGUAUGUAUUAUAUGAAUAAGGAUCGGCUAACUCCGUGCCAGCAGCCGCGGUAAUACGGAGGAUCCGAGCGUUAUCCGGAUUUAUUGGGUUUAAAGGGAGCGUAGGUGGACUGGUAAGUCAGUUGUGAAAGUUUGCGGCUCAACCGUAAAAUUGCAGUUGAUACUGUCAGUCUUGAGUACAGUAGAGGUGGGCGGAAUUCGUGGUGUAGCGGUGAAAUGCUUAGAUAUCACGAAGAACUCCGAUUGCGAAGGCAGCUCACUGGACUGCAACUGACACUGAUGCUCGAAAGUGUGGGUAUCAAACAGGAUUAGAUACCCUGGUAGUCCACACAGUAAACGAUGAAUACUCGCUGUUUGCGAUAUACAGUAAGCGGCCAAGCGAAAGCAUUAAGUAUUCCACCUGGGGAGUACGCCGGCAACGGUGAAACUCAAAGGAAUUGACGGGGGCCCGCACAAGCGGAGGAACAUGUGGUUUAAUUCGAUGAUACGCGAGGAACCUUACCCGGGCUUAAAUUGCAGUGGAAUGAUGUGGAAACAUGUCAGUGAGCAAUCACCGCUGUGAAGGUGCUGCAUGGUUGUCGUCAGCUCGUGCCGUGAGGUGUCGGCUUAAGUGCCAUAACGAGCGCAACCCUUAUCUUUAGUUACUAACAGGUUAUGCUGAGGACUCUGGAGAGACUGCCGUCGUAAGAUGUGAGGAAGGUGGGGAUGACGUCAAAUCAGCACGGCCCUUACGUCCGGGGCUACACACGUGUUACAAUGGGGGGUACAGAAGGCAGCUAGCGGGUGACCGUAUGCUAAUCCCAAAAGCCUCUCUCAGUUCGGAUCGAAGUCUGCAACCCGACUUCGUGAAGCUGGAUUCGCUAGUAAUCGCGCAUCAGCCACGGCGCGGUGAAUACGUUCCCGGGCCUUGUACACACCGCCCGUCAAGCCAUGGGAGCCGGGGGUACCUGAAGUACGUAACCGCAAGGAUCGUCCUAGGGUAAAACUGGUGACUGGGGC
rnacentral:rRNA from 1 species